CGGCGAACGGCUGAGUAACGCGUGGGAAUUUGCCCCAAAGUAGGAAUAACUGCCCGAAAGGGUGGCUAAUGCCGCAUAUGAUCUUCGGAUUAAAGGAUUUAUCCGCUUUGGGAGAAGCCCGCGUCGGAUUAGGUAGUUGGUGAGGUAAUGGCUCACCAAGCCGACGAUCCGUAGCUGGUCUGAGAGGAUGACCAGCCAGACUGGAACUGAGACACGGUCCAGACUCCUACGGGAGGCAGCAGUGAGGAAUCUUCCACAAUGGGCGAAAGCCUGAUGGAGCAACGCCGCGUGCAGGAUGAAGGCCUUCGGGUUGUAAACUGCUUUUAUAAGUGAGGAAUAUGACGGUAGCUUAUGAAUAAGGAUCG
rnacentral:rRNA from 1 species